GUACGCUGGCGGCACGCUUAACACAUGCAAGUCGAACGAAGUAGCACUACUUAGUGGCAGACGGGUGAGUAACAUGUAGGUAUCUGCCCUUUGGCCUGGAAUGGCACGAGGAAACUUGUGCUAAUACCGGAUAAGUCUUUACGGAGAAAGCUUUAUGCACCAUUGGAUGAGCCUGCACUUGAUUACUUUGUUGGUGGGGUAAUGGCCUACCAAGACUGUGAUCAAUACCUGAUUGGAGAGGAUGAUCAGCCACAUUGGGACUGAGACACGGCCCUAACUCGGACGGGAGGCAGCAGUGGGGAAUCUUGCCCAAUGGAGGAAACUCUGAUGCAGCGAUGCCGCGUGAGUGAAGAAGGCCUUUGGUUGUAAAGCUCUUUCGUCGGGGAAGAAAAUGACUGUACCCGAAUAAGAAGGUCCGGC
rnacentral:rRNA from 1 species